CUCUUUGGGAAGUACAAUCAUAACACACUUUAAAAUGUUAUUCUCGAGUUUUGACUUCUUGGCUUCUAUAUUUAAUAUUCGAGGUACUGAUUGUGCAAAUAUUUGUAAGACAGCCUCUGAAUUGUUGUAUGAAAAAUUGUUGUCACCAAUACUAUGCAUAGAAUUAUUGAAUCGAACAAACUCAUAUGGCAAAUUUGUCAAAGUGACCUUUGUUGUUUUUGGUUCAGCUUGAGCUUUUAUGAGAUAAUGAAAAACUGAUGGAGUACUGGUUAAGUUCCAAUACCAUUGAUGUUUUCUAUCGAUCCCAAUUAUCCCGAGUUGAUCUGUUAUAUAUCGACUUAAAUAAUUAACACCAUUUUUACUAUUAGAUGCAGACAUAAAUACCAUUGUAGGAAUUGAGCCUUUGCCAUGUAAUUGAGAGUGAAUCCCCAUACCACCGACAUUUUCGUCAUCCAUAUUAAUCCUCAAAUUCUUUUUACACAAUUGAAUAAACGACGACAGAAAGAUUUUGUCAGCUAGAAUCUCUGGACUAGAGAGCCUUCGUGAUCUGCCGUGAUCGGGAAUUACUAAAUCUGAUUCG